rnacentral:misc_RNA from 1 species
CAGAGUUCGUGCCCUCACGGGUAGAUCUCCCACCCUGUGUUAUUGUUACCUUUGUUGCUUUGGCGGGCCGCCAGGCCCCGGCCAGGCUACCGGCCCCCCGCUGGUACGCGCCCGCCAAAGGACCCCAAACCCUGAACGUUAGUGUCGUCUGAGUACUAUACAAUAGUUA